rnacentral:rRNA from 1 species
UACGGAGGGGGCUAGCGUUGUUCGGAAUUACUGGGCGUAAAGCGCGCGUAGGCGGCUUUGUAAGUUAGAGGUGAAAGCCCGGAGCUCAACUCCGGAAUUGCCUUUAAGACUGCAUCGCUAGAAUCAUGGAGAGGUUAGUGGAACUCCGAGUGUAGAGGUGAAAUUCGUAGAUAUUCGGAAGAACACCAGUGGCGAAGGCGACACACUGGCCCGUUACUGACGCUGAGGCGCGAAAGCGUGGGGAGCAAACAGG